CCUACGGGAGGCAGCAGUGAGGAAUAUUGGUCAAUGGGCGAGAGCCUGAACCAGCCAAGUCGCGUGAAGGAUGACGGCCCUACGGGUUGUAAACUUCUUUUGUCAGGGAGCAAUUGGGUCCACGCGUGGGCUUAGCGAGAGUACCUGAAGAAAAAGCAUCGGCUAACUCCGUGCCAGCAGCCGCGGUAAUACGGAGGAUGCGAGCGUUAUCCGGAUUUUUUGGGUGUAAAGGGUGCGUAGAUGGGUGUGUAAGUCAGUUGUGAAAGUCUGCGGCUCAACCGUAAAAUUGCAAUUGAUACUGGCAGUCUAGAGUACAGGUGAGGUAAGUGGAAUUCGUGGUGUAGCGGUGAAAUGCUUAGAUAUCACGAAGAACCCCGGUGGCGAAGGCAGCUUACUAAACUGUGACUGACAUUGAGGCUCGAAAGUGUGGGUAUCAAACAGGAGUAGAUACCCCAGUAGUC
rnacentral:rRNA from 1 species